GACGAACGCUGGCGGCGUGCCUAAUACAUGCAAGUAGAACGCACAGUUUAUACCGUAGCUUGCUACACCAUAGACUGUGAGUUGCGAACGGGUGAGUAACGCGUAGGUAACCUGCCUGGUAGCGGGGGAUAACUAUUGGAAACGAUAGCUAAUACCGCAUAAUAUUAAUUAUUGCAUGAUAAUUAAUUAAAAGGUGCAAUUGCACCACUACCAGAUGGACCUGCGUUGUAUUAGCUAGUAGGUGAGGUAACGGCUCACCUAGGCGACGAUACAUAGCCGACCUGAGAGGGUGAUCGGCCACACUGGGACUGAGACACGGCCCAGACUCCUACGGGAGGCAGCAGUAGGGAAUCUUCGGCAAUGGACGAAAGUCUGACCGAGCAACGCCGCGUGAGUGAAGAAGGUUUUCGGAUCGUAAAGCUCUGUUGUAAGAGAAGAACGGGUG
rnacentral:rRNA from 1 species